CCUACGGGAGGCAGCAGUGGGGAAUUUUGGACAAUGGGCGCAAGCCUGAUCCAGCAAUGCCGCGUGCAGGAUGAAGGCCUUCGGGUUGUAAACUGCUUUUGUACGGAACGAAACGGUCUGCCCUAAUACGGUGGGCUAAUGACGGUACCGUAAGAAUAAGCACCGGCUAACUACGUGCCAGCAGCCGCGGUAAUACGUAGGGUGCGAGCGUUAAUCGGAAUUACUGGGCGUAAAGCGUGCGCAGGCGGUUAUAUAAGACAGAUGUGAAAUCCCCGGGCUCAACCUGGGACCUGCAUUUGUGACUGUAUAGCUAGAGUACGGUAGAGGGGGAUGGAAUUCCGCGUGUAGCAGUGAAAUGCGUAGAUAUGCGGAGGAACACCGAUGGCGAAGGCAAUCCCCUGGACCUGUACUGACGCUCAUGCACGAAAGCGUGGGGAGCAAACAGGAUUAGAUACCCUGGUAGUCCACGCCCUAAACGAUGUCAACUGGUUGUUGGGUCUUCACUGACUCAGUAACGAAGCUAACGCGUGAAGUUGACCGCCUGGGGAGUACGGCCGCAAGGUUGAAACUCAAAUGAAAUUGACCGGNNGAGAGNGCGAGGACGACACGAGGGAGGAGG
rnacentral:rRNA from 1 species